UUGACAGAAACAUCUCUAAGUAAAAGCACUUAGGAAAGGGCGGGGCCUGCUGAAAGAGCAAACGUGCAUGUGUUCAUGUGAAUUUAGCAUCAGAGCUCCAGCAGCUUGGUGAGAUUGGAAGACCACCUGAAUUCUGGUACCAGGAGGAAUGGACUCCACCCUAGGAGCACCAUUUUUAAUCCUAUGGCUUCAACUAGACUGGGUGAGUGGCCAACAGGGGGAGAAAAGUGACCAGCAGCAGGUGAAACAAGGUCCUCAGUCUUUGGUGCUCCACGAAGGAGAGAUCUCCAUUCUGAACUGUUCUUAUGAGAACAGUGCAUUUGACUACUUCCUAUGGUACAAGCAGUACCCUGGUAAAGGCCUUGAAUUAAUAGCAAGCAUACGUUCAGUUAAAAAUGAAAAUGAAGCUGGAAGAUUCACAGUCUUCUUCAAUAAAAGUGAGAAACGUUUCUCUUUGCACAUCGCUGCUUCCCAGCCCGGAGACUCAGCCACCUACUUCUGUGCAGCAAGCACACAGUGCUCUCCACACACCUGCAGCCUGACCCAAACCUGCAGACAGGGCCCCGGCCGACCUCGCUGUGGGUAG